UGAUCUCUUUUACAGAUUACGAAAUGCUAAUUUAUUUAUAGCACGCUAUCCCAUUAACAUUGCACGUUAUAUGAUGCUCAAACAUCAAAAGGAAAAAGCCAAUCCGAAACGUUAUGAGAAUUUGUUACAAAUCAUAUCCGACAUUCAGUUGGUAUUAUGCCGAAUUAAAGAUAUCGGAACAAAAAAGUUAAACUUGAACUAGAAAACAACAAGAACAACAACAACGAUAAAAACAUGCACGCAGUCAUGAUAUAUGAAAUUGAAAAGUUCUUCCCCAAUUACUAUAAAACGCAGGCGAAUAUAUUUAGGAAAAAUAUUUGCAAUUAGUACAAAGUUAAAUUAAAAAUUACUUUAUUUGUAGAGAUGGCAAUUAAUUUUAUUAGUAUUAACUUUCAAUUUCCAUAUCAUGUUGUGUGUAGACUUGCAAAGGAA